UCGCGCCCGGCCUCGGGCCGCGUCCCGCGCGCUCCCCGCGGCUCCCCCUCCGCUUCGCCCCCGCCCCCGGCGUUCCGGUCUCGCGGGGCUCGGCCUCGCCCUCCCGCCCGGCUCGCGCCCGGGGCUGCCGCACGCGUCCGCGUCCGCUGCCGCCGCCGCCGCCGCCGCCUCCGGCCGCUCUCCGCGUCCUCCACCCCCGCCCCGCUGCGCUCCGGGCAGCGUCCCGCGCGGAGAAGGGGGCGGGCGGCGGAGAGGCGAGGAGCGAGCCGGGGCGCGUGGGGCCUUCGAAGUUGAGAGGCGGAGUGCGGGGAGACCCUCCGCUGCCCCCUCUUCUACGCCGCGCGCACACACCGACCCUCCAAACAGAUAUCCUUCCUCCGGCGCGCCGAGGAGUCCCGCCGCCGCCGCCGCCGCCGGCUGCCGACGCGCUGAGGACGAGAGGCACGUUAAACUGCCCGGCUCCGCCACAUAACGAGCCGACAAUAAAGCCGGCGGAGCGCUUCCGUCCGACCAGGCCCUGGCGGAGGUCGAAUGGCAAAUGAACAACGGACCGUGCGCCCACAAUGCACCGGGACUGGAGCGGGCGAGCGCCUCUCGGGCGAGGAGGUGGCGAGCCGCGGACCACCGCCUGCCCUGGAUGCCAGGGCAGCGCCUCGGGCCCCGGGGGCAACCAUCCUCUCGCCGAAAACGCACCGCCCCGAGUGUCUUGACGGCCGUGAUGAAAUGGAAAUUUAAAUAAAAGGUCGAACACGUGCGUUCACUGGGAAGUAUUGACAUGGGUGUUACAUCACCGGCAACCAAUCAGAGGGCUCGGCUCGUGUUUAUACUUCUACAACCACCUUGUGAGUAUUACAGUAUGUCAUAACGUUAUAAAUAUUAGGCAGGGUUUUCCCCAGCCGCGGCAGGAGGCUGCUCGCACGGACCCGGCGCGCGGCUCCCGAGAUUGCCAGCCCCAGCGCAGCAAGGGCUCAUUUGAAAAGAAAAAAAAAAAAAAAGCAACGCCAACUGUUUACAUUGCAUAUAGAAUUUAGAGUGAUUAGAACUGAUUGAGCUGGGAGUGAAGCGCCCAAGGCGACCAUCCUAGUGGACUUUUUCACUGAAAGGUUCUCCGGUUUGGAGCCCUUAACAUUGAUCCCUUUUUUAAAAAAAGUCUUUUAAAAAGAUGCUACAUGUAGCAAAUUCUGCAGUGUUUAGGCUCAUAUGCUAGUUUACAGUAUCAGAUAAGUCAAGGUUUUUUUUUUGUUAUUGUCGUUCAAACAAGUUUCACCGCCCCCCCCCCAAAAAAGAUACCCUCAGGCCAUGGAGGGGUGUUUUAUUUACUCUAAAUAAUGCAUCAACUAGAAGCUGAAUCGCAAAUGCAUAUAAAACAAGUCGGAGAUAACUGCUGAUAAGAACCGGCUUUUUACAUAAAUAAUUCCUUUAGAAUAUGCAUAGGAAGAAUGAAAAAUAUGCCUGCAGUCUUUAGGCGGUCGAUUGCCAGUGAGAGGGACUGGAGUGGAGGCUUUAACCCACCUUAUAUAUUAAUGUAAAAUUAUAGAGAGCACUAAUUAACAAUUUUCAUACCCUCUAACUUUAUAAUUCUUCAGAGAUGUUUGUUUCCAAAAUAAGAACAGUAUUUAAUGCUUUGAAUAUAUAUUGUGGGACAUGGUAUAUUUUUCAGGAGUGAAUACAUUUUCCUGAACAUAUAAAAUAUUAUUUGUCUUAAUAUUUUAAGUGGACUAAACACAUCAGUGUACAUCCAGACCAAUAUGCAUUGAUUAUAUAGGUUUAUUUGAGGCAACAGUCGCUUCACUGUAGUGUUAGUACCGUGCAGAGCAGCCAGAUUGUAGAUCAAACGUUAAGUCUGCCACCUGGGUGCAAUGGAAUUUUGAUGUAGAGAAUGACACUGCUGCCCUGCCACAAAAAGAUGUUGGCUUUGAGUUCUUUUUCCAGCAACAAGCGUGUUGUCACCCAUCUUUCUUGUCACCUAAGCCAUCCCGAACCAGCAAGCUUGACACUUUGAUGUAAGUCCUCAGGUUGGCACAGUUUGUAAGGUUUUGUUGUUGUUACUGUUGUCCUUGCCCGGCUUUAUUUGAUUUUAGUUAUUGGAAAGUUUAAGACAGGGCAGUGUGUGACCUGGACCUACUUUGUGCCCCGGAGAAAUGAGAGCAUUCUUAUAUACUGUGGCCAUAUAUAAUAGUGCCACGUGUGAAGGAAUGUGAUUAUAGCAUGUUUUGUCCUUAAUCCAUGGUCAGUUUUUUCCAUUCUAGGCACUUUGCAAGUAAAUACUUUAUUGAAUAUAUUUAAACCACCACACUUCCUCCGCUACAAAAACAAAUAAACAAAAAAAAACCAAGAGUUACUGAAGUUAAUUACUUAUCCAGGAUUAAGGUGAUGGGAAAUGAAAAUAAAUGUAAGAAUUUUUAUGUGAACUUCAAAGCCUGUUUUGCAUCCCAACACUUAAAUUCAGAUCUUUUGGUUCUCGUCUUGUAUCCCUAGUACAUAAUUGGCACUGUUUAAGUUUCUGCUGGUCUUGUUAGUUUUGCUUUUAAUAUUGCUAACUUCAACCAAAAAUGUUAGAAUCCUUGAUGGUGUUAGGACUGCAUUUUUCUUAGAUCUGUAACAUAUGUUUUGCCCCCUAUCUGGAAUUAUGUUUAAGCAUGGACUGAUUAGGGGUGAGUGACACUAGAUUCAAGUGGUACAAACGACUUAAAUUCCAGGUCCACUGAACUCCUAAAAGCCAAACAGUAUCUGUGUGUGGUGUGCGCACACGUUGCGUGUGUGUACACACGCCUGGGUAUUUAUGUACACUUUUUGUAUAUACUCGAUUGCCUUCCCCUAAACCCUGAAGGAAGAUCAAACCAGAAACAAGUAUGCAGGGGCCAGCAGUCACAGAUCUCUCAGAAUGCCCUAUGACAAGGGAACUUUGGGUGACGAAGGGGAUCUCCUACUCUGUAAAGGGAGUUUUUAGGAAUUCCCCCACCCCUUCCAGUCUCCUGCUAGCAAGCAGGGAUCUGUUCUGCCCUGUAGCCCCUAUAUUUACUGUUAGGGUUCUGCAGUGUUCAAGGGAAUUCCCCCUUAUGUUUACCAGGGGAACCCCUUAAGAAUGGGGGCAUCCCCAACCAGUUUGUCCCCUAACGUCAUUUUUAGGCUAUGUAAAACUGCUGAUGUUGACGUUUGAUCCAGCCCCACCAUAACUAUGAUGGCACUAACCCGACUGAGCCUGUCUUCCGUUGUCCAGCGUGACUGUCCUUCACGGCCUUGGUGCAUCCACUAGAAUGAAGGCCGAGAGGAGAGGGACUGUCUUCUGCUCCCUGCUUCCCUAGGCCCAACCUGGCACCCAGUAGGCAAUCAGUCAAUGUCGAGUCAUUUACCAUGUCUUCCCUUGAAACACAUUUUAAUAGGCCACUUUUUCUGUUUCCUCUUUUUAUUUUCCUUAGUUAUAUGAACAAUAAAAGUAUCGAGUUAAUGUUUCCAUUGUAUUUAUUUUAAAAGCAAUAAUGUAGUUGAGUAUAAAUAAUAUUAGUGCCAUUUUCUGUGUGGCUUCCCCAUGAAUUGCAAACAUGUAGUUUACACAAACUCCUUGUGAGUUAAAUCAAAGCAGGUAUCGUUAUCCUCGUUUGACAGAUGAGGAGACCCAGUACACAAAAGCUAACCAACUUGCUUAAGGUUAUAAAUGAGAUAGAAGUUUCUAAGACUGUAUACAAGAGUAAUAGCCUCCAGUCGAAGGCAGGCAUCCUUAACUACUAAAAUACACUUAACAGUUGUUAUAUCUGCGUAAUUAUAAACUAUAUUAAAUUUUAAACUUUCUUGUUCAGAUCUGCUCAUAGGAGGGAAAAAACUAAUCACUCAUUAUUUCCAGUACCCAGAAUUAAUCACUAUUCUGUAAACAUGAUCUUCUUCUUCUUUUCCUAGCUAAAAUUGUUGGUGUUUAUAACUUGGAUCCUAGACUGUUCUUGCUUGUUUUAAUAUAAUUAUUUUAAGUAUUAUUUUAGUGACCACAGAUACAGAAUGCUUGACUUUAACUACUUUCAUUAUUGAACAUAUCAUUGCUUACAAGUUUGUUUAUUUUGCCAUCAUAAACAACUCUUUAGUGAAGAUCUUUAAAACUCUGUAUAUAUUGUUCCUUUAGGAUAUAUUGUUUCCUUUAAAAUAAACUCUAAUGGGAAUUUCUGUCAAAGGGAUUGAACAUUUCAUAAACAAAGUGUCCUUGCCCCCGCCUGCCCCCACCCCAAAUCCAAUAGUCAAAAUCCAGCCCCGAAGAUGAAGAUGACGGUGUUAGCAGUGGCAUUGCUGAGUAGUGAUUAGGUCAUGAGGGCAGAGCCCUCCCGGGGCGUGCAGUUAGUGCUCUUAAAAAAGGCCAGUGGGAGCCUGUGCCCGCCCUCACCUGUGCAGCUGCAAGGUUUUCCUGUAAAGAGCAAGCCCUCACCCACACCAGCGCUGCCAGUGCCUUGACCUUGGACUUCCCAGCUUCCAGAACUGAGAAAUUUCUGUUGUUUUAAGCUACCCAGUUUGUGGUAUUCUCUUACAGCAGCCCAAAUGGACUAGGAUAGGUGACUAGUAACCAGUCUCAGCCAGUAGUGAGAAAUGUGCACGAAACCACCAGCAGUGGGUAAAUUUGUCAACCAUCAGAGGUGCAGGGUGAUGAACACGGUGGGGAAUAUAAAUGGGAGCAAGGUUUCUGACAGGUUGCUUGUCCUUAUGUGUCAGCACAUAAAAUGCACAUAAGCCUUUUUACCUGACAGCUGUAGUGUUAGGAAGUUCUGUUAGACUGGUUAAGAUGUCCAUGCAAGGAUGUUUACUGAAGCACUGUUUAUAAAAAAGUUUUUUUUUUCCCCCUGAAAAACUGGGGGAAAAAUCCUUGAGCUUCUAUCAAUAUGAAGUUGUUUAUAUAUAUUCUAAUAUAUUCUUAUUAUAUGAGUUUUUGAGCAGCCACCCAAAUGAUUAUGUAGCAUUAUAUAAGUACAAGCUUUAUUGCUAAGUGAAGGCGGCUAGCAUAUCAACAUAUAGGAAUGAUUCGCUGACACAUGGGGAUAAUCGAAUCAACAAUUCUCAUAUGGGAAAAAUCCUAUCAUUAUUUAUUGAGCACCUCCUUGUUAAGCCUUGCACAUGUAUACAUUGCUAAACAAAAAUCACUCUGGUCCUUAAGAGUGUAUCCAUAAACCGAUAUGUGAAUACAAGCAUAAAGGGCGCUUUAAAAGGCUGUUGAACAGAAUGGAGGCAAUUACCUAAGAUUUACUAACUGAUUUGAAAGGCAGAGACAAAGCUUCCAUCUGCCAGUUCACUUCCCCAACGGCUGUGACGGCCAUGGCUGGGCCUGGUCAAAGCCAGGAGCCAGGAACUCUAUCGGGGUUUCCUCUGUGGGUGGUAGGGACCCAAGUAUUUGGGCUGUCAUCUCUGCCUUCCCAGAUGCAUUAGCAGGAAGCAAGAUAGGGUAGGAAGCAGAGCAGCAUGACUUGAACCUGCGCUCAGAUGUGGGAUGUCAGCAUUGAAAGCAGUGAUUAAUCCUCUGGGCCACAGCGCUGGCCCGUAGACUUCCACUUUCUACAAAAACUUUCUUAAUACAUUUUCUGUAGUUUUAUAUUGAAAGUACAAUUUAUUGGUUAUACCAUCAAAAAAUCAAUAAAGGUGCUUUUAUUUUUAGGGAAAAAGUUGUUAACAAUUAACCACAAUAAUCAAUGAUGUGGUUUUCCCCCCAAGACUUUUGGGAAAAGGUGCUGUUCAUUCUUUCUCUCCCUUUAGUGUGAACCAAUUUGGGCCUACCUCCCCCCACACCCCCAGAAACCUCACAGAACAUUCACAGGAUGAAAACCAUGGUGUUUCUUUUCUUGGACACUUUCAAUCCCUUUAAAGUGUUAUCUUGUAGAAGCUUCAGUUUACAUGCAUAGUUUCAGGGACAUCUAUCACAACAAGUCUUACAUUGUGACCUCACCCUUUAGUCCCUUCUCUGCAGAAGCCAGUAAUCUUUGCAAAGUGCGCAUCUGAUCCUGUCACCCCACCCACCUUGGCGGUUCCUGAUCCCUUCCUGCCUAAAUGCCUACAGGCUUGCAGUUACUUUCCUUUGGGCUACAUCUCCAGACUCUUCACAAAUGCAGCACCAGCAAGGUCUGCCUGUCAUCCACCCCAGCUCGUCCCUUGCCUAUUCCCCCAAAGCUGCCUUCCUCUGCCCUUCAUGUCAGCUUUGAUCCCUGUCUGUUCCCUGUCUGUACUGCUCUUCCCUCCCUCUCAAUGAACCCACGUUCAUCCUCAGAGCACUCCCUUGGGGCCACUUUCCCUGACCACCCACACCCUCAACUUCAAAUACCUAGUCUCAGAUCCUCCGACCCUCUAACUCUGCCUCACAGCCCUGUCACAGUUGCAGGUUUUAAACGUGUGCAGAGGCCGGCCUUGGGGCACGGUGUGGUUUAAGAUGCCAAUUGCAACUGCUAAGAUCCCACAUUGGAGCUUAGGUUCAAGUUGCAUGCUGCUCUGCUUUUGAUGCAGCUCCCUGCUGACACAUCUGGGAAAGCAGAUGAGGAAUUCCAGGCUCCUGGCUUCAGCCUGACCCAAGUCCUGGCUGUUGCAGCUAUUUGGAGAGUGAACCAGUGGAUGGAAGACUCUCUCUCUCUCUCUCUCUCUGUCACUAAGACUUUGAAAUAGAUAAAUCUAAAAAACAAAUAAAAUUGUGUGGUUAUCCUCAUUGCAUGCUUCCCUGUUGAACUGAAAGCUCCAGGAGGGCAGGUGCCAGAAAGCCCCAAUUUUAAUAUUUUUAAAAUUGUAAAUUAAAAUUAUUCAAAUGAAAACUUACUAGGUCAUUAAAAAUAAUAUAUACAGUGCUUACUUCAGCACAAAUACUAAAAUUGGAAUGACACAGAGAAGAUUAGCACAGCCCCUGCACAAGGAUGAUGCAGAAACUCGUGAAGCAUUCCAUAUUUUUUCUGGAAUCUCAAAAAAAUAAUGUAUAUAAAUAAAACAUUGUUUUUUGUGGACUCAUGCGCUUUAAAUUUUAAAAUAUUUCAAGUUCACUAUUGACCAUUUUGUGAUUUCAGUUUCUCUAAAUUCUGAUUAAUCACAAAGAGGAGUCUGACGCAGAGAUGAGACAGAUGAAGUAGGUGCCUCUUUUCUAUAUGUAAAUUGUACAGAAGUAGAUUGUUUUUGCAACAUGAAUUUUAAUAUGGGCCUCAAAGAAUGGAAAUACUGGAGUAAGUGGUAAGGUUUGAUACUUAUUUUUUAUUGAAACCAAUCAUUAAUACCAUACUAACCUUGCUGAUUUCUGCAAUUAGCAGGUCACCCCAAACUUUACUUCACUGGGUGUGUGGUUCACAGACUCGUCUCCCUGGGAGGUCAGUUAACUUGCCUCUGUUCAGUGGCCCAGAUUUCACACUGUUCCGCCUCAUAAAUUUACAAACCAUCAGAAGGACCAGGUGAGAAAAAAAUGGAAGAUGCCAGGGCCAAGACAGUACAGCAUGUAAAGUUAGCGCCAUGAAACGGGACUUUCUUUGUGCAAGGCUCCACAUGUUGUCACUCCGUGCCCCAGAAUUUGGAGAUAAAGUCAAGGUCACCACACUUUGAAAACUAAAGCUAAUAAGGAUCAACAUAAAUCGUGAGGAAAGUUGCAAACCCAAAACUGUCAUUAGGGUGUCUCUGCCAUCUGUUCAAGAUUGAGGGUGCAUCCCAGGAUUGCAAUGUAACUGCUUAGGAAAAAAAGACUCAAUGUUUUCAGGUCUAGUCAAGUGUUUUACAAACUGGGCUGUGCUUAGCUCUGUAAGUAUAUAAAGAAUUUCUUGGGCAUAUGUGAACACAUAAGGACUGUUUUAUUCAGAAAAUUGAUUCUCGGGCUUUUCACUUCCAAAUAGACCCAUUUUCCAAAAACUGAACUCCCAGAAUGCUCCCCUCUAACUGGUUUUCUUUUCUACCUCUGCUUUCACAAUUCCUCUUUUCCCAGUUCCUGAAAAAGAAAAAAAAAAAAAAAAAAAAAAGGCAUACCUCUCACUCAAGUUGAAUCUUACUGUGAGACAUUGUCCCAGGAUGGAAAGGAGACACUGGAGGCAACCAAAGUCAGUGUCCCUAAUCACUCAGUAGCAGUACUUUUGCAACUCUCACGGUUUCCAGCUUUUGCUUUCAACAAAACUGAAGAACCACCUAACUGAGGUGUCAGCUCAUCAUUAAAAAUAAUUUUGAAUAAUAGUUUACUAAGGGCUUUUUGCUGGUAUCUUGAAAGGCUUUAAAAAAAUUUUGUGUCAUAGGUAAAACAAAAGCCCUAUUCCAUCAUCCUUAUUUGUGUGUAUGUGAACAAAUGCUCUCAUCACAUAUGUAAAAGAAAAGGAAAAAGGGAAUGAAAUGUAUGACAAAUCCUGUCUCACGCUUGCAAACACAGCAUUGGAAUGUUAAUUGGAAAAAAAAUCAAUUGAGUAAGAAAUGCAUUUCAAAUCAAUAUUAUUAUCAAUAUUUACAAUAUACUUAUGUCUCUGAUCAAAUUUGCACUAACAAUUAUGUCGAUUCAGGAUUUCUUUUAACAUGGUAACAAAAGUUUCUAAAGUGAGACAAAUUGGUUGAAUAUAGACUUCUUUGUAUAAAUACAAAAUUCUGUGGGGGAAGUAGAGUGGAAAUAAAGGAAAAAUGCAAAAU